UACGUAGGGCGCAAGCGUUGUCCGGAAUUAUUGGGCGUAAAGAGCUCGUAGGCGGCUUGUCCCGUCGGGUGUGAAAGCCCGGGGCUUAACCCCGGGUCUGCAUUCGAUACGGGCAGGCUAGAGUGUGGUAGGGGAGAUCGGAAUUCCUGGUGUAGCGGUGAAAUGCGCAGAUAUCAGGAGGAACACCGGUGGCGAAGGCGGAUCUCUGGGCCAUUACUGACGCUGAGGAGCGAAAGCGUGGGGAGCGAACAGG
rnacentral:rRNA from 1 species